AUGGAUGAUGGAUGGAUGGAUGAGGGACAGGCUGGGGCUGGGGUUGAUCCGCAGGGAGGGUGCUAUGGGGCUGUGCUGGAGCCUCCCCAGGGAUGUUCUGGAAGGUUCUGGUUCCCCAGGGAAGGAGUGCUCCUUCGAGCAGCUGGAGCACGUGCGGGAGAUGCAGGAGAAGCUGGCACGGCUGCACUUCGGGCUGGACGUGUGCGUGGAGGAGCUCCCCGAGGAGCAGAAGAAGGCGGCGGCUGACAGGAACCUGGACCAGCUGCUGGCACACCUGGAAGAGCUCAGCAGCUCCAUCCAGAAGCUGCACCUGGCCGAGAGCUCGGACCCCGAGGACGCGGGGCCCUGACCCCGGCCCUGUCCCCGUCCCCGCCACCCCCGGGAGCCCCGCGCGGGCCCGGCCCUGUCCCCGCCAUGGCGGCGGCGGUCGCGGCCCGGUGACGGCAGCAGGCGGCGCCGGGGCCAUGGCGGCCGCGCCGGGCCCGCGGGCCGGGGCUGAGGCUGAGACCGAGGAGCGGCGGCGGCUCCUGCGCUCCGUGACCCGGCUGCAGGCCUGUGCCAGGGGGUUCCUGCUGCGGCGGCGCCUGCGGAGCGCGCGGGCGGAGUUCGAGGCCGCCGUGCUGGAGAUCGAGGGCGACCUGAGGCAGCUGCGCUGGAUCGGCCGCGUCCUGCAGCGCCCGCGCUUCGGCCCCGAGGACGCUCCCGGCCCGGCCCCCGCAGGAUUUGGCGCUCCCGGUGCGGCCCGGCCUGCCCAGGUGAGUGAUUGAUUCCCCUCCCUGUGCCACUGCCCUGAGCACAGCAAAGGUUGGCAUGGCUCAAACCAGAGCAGCAGAGCCAUUAUAUUUUUAAAAUAUAUUUUAUUUUGUUUAUUGUAAUAUUUUCUUUGAUUUUUGAUACUUCUUUAUAUAUUAUAUAUUUCCUCUAUUUUAUAUUUUCUUCAGUAUGUUCAAAUUUAUUUACAUUUUCUAUUAUACAUUUUAUUUUGUUUGCUUUAAAAUUUUCUUUUAUAUAUCUUCUUUUAAUAUUUUCUUUCAUAUUUCUUUAUAUUUUCUCUUAUAUAUCUUUGUUUAUUUUAAUACUUUCAUUAAUAUUUUCUUUGAUAUUUUCUUUUGUUUCUUUUAUAUUCUCUUAUAUUUCUUUACAUUCCUUUUUUUUCUUCCUACUUUCUUCCUGUUCAUCUUCAUUUUUUCUUAAUAUUUUCCUUGAUAUUUUCUUUUAUGUUUCUUUUAUAUUUCUUUUACAUUCUCUUAUAUUUCUUUAUAUUUUCUAUUUCAUGAUAUUCCUUUUUUUUCCCCUAUUUUCUUCCGAUUCGUCUUUAUCUUUUCUUCCUAUUCCUCUCAUAUAUUUUUUUACGCUUUCUUGAUUUUUUAAAAAUAUUUUCU
rnacentral:lncRNA from 1 species